CUUUUCCUGCCUUGCGGACUUCAGUCAAUACUUUUCCCCGGGAGAGUUUAUGUUUUCAUCUAUGUUAGGAGAGAUUGAGUUUCCUGAAUCCUAAGGGAAACCAGACACGGGAAGAGUCGGUGAAACCCUCCACACACCUUCUUCAGGAUAUUUGACAUGUACAGGUAAGCCCAAAAGUAUUCAUACCCAUGCCACCUUUUGAGCCACAGUGAAUUUGUAUUUGACCAACAGGUUUCUUCUGGUAUAUGAAUAAAGUUUCCUUAAAAUAAAUAGUUUAUAUCUCCAGCACAAUCGUCAAAUACAAAUUCACUAUGGCAAGGGGUAUGAAUAC